rnacentral:rRNA from 1 species
CCUACGGGAGGCAGCAGUAGGGAAUCUUCCGCAAUGGACGAAAGUCUGACGGAGCAACGCCGCGUGAACGAUGAAGGCCUUCGGGUCGUAAAGUUCUGUUGUUAGGGAAGAACAAGUGCUAGUUAAAUAAGCUGGCACCUUGACGGUACCUAACCAGAAAGCCACGGCUAACUACGUGCCAGCAGCCGCGGUAAUACGUAGGUGGCAAGCGUUGUCCGGAAUUAUUGGGCGUAAAGCGCGCGCAGGCGGUUUCUUAAGUCUGAUGUGAAAGCCCCCGGCUCAACCGGGGAGGGUCAUUGGAAACUGGGAAACUUGAGUGCAGAAGAGGAAAGUGGAAUUCCAAGUGUAGCGGUGAAAUGCGUAGAGAUUUGGAGGAACACCAGUGGCGAAGGCGACUUUCUGGUCUGUAACUGACGCUGAGGCGCGAAAGCGUGGGGAGCAAACAGGAUUAGAUACCCUGGUAGUCCACGCUGUAAACGAUGAGUGNUAGUAGUUAGUAGGUUACCGGUCCGUUACGUUGUCUGUAAGUUAACGUACAUAAGUACACCUCCGUCCGUCGGGUAGGGUACGGGUCGGCGAACGAACGUAGAAACGUUAAAAGGUAAAGUUAGUUACGGCGUGAGACGUGCCGACGGACGACGACGAGGGAGGAGG